rnacentral:rRNA from 1 species
AUUGAACGCUGGCGGCAUGCCUUACACAUGCAAGUCGAACGGCAGCGGGCCCUUCGGGGUGCCGGCGAGUGGCGAACGGGUGAGUAAUGCAUCGGAAAGUACCCGGGAGAGGGGGAUAACCGGCCGAAAGGCCGGCUAAUACCGCAUGAACUCGGAAGAGCAAAGCGGGGGACCUUCGGGCCUCUCGCUCUCGGGGCGGCCGAAGUCCGAUUAGGCUAGUUGGUGGGGUAAAGGCCCACCCAGGCGACGAUCGGUAGCGGGUCUGAGAGGACGAUCCGCCACACUGGGACUGAGACACGGCCCAGACUCCUACGGGAGGCAGCAGUGGGGAAUCUUGGACAAUGGGCGCAAGCCUGAUCCAGCAAUGCCGCGUGGGUGAAGAAGGCCUUCGGGUUGUAAAGCCCUUUCGGCGGGGAAGAAAUCGGUCAGGCGAAUAGUCUGGCCGGAUGACGGUACCCGCAGAAGAAGCACCGGCUAACUACGUG